AUGUGAUCGUCUCUCGCAUAUCAAUAAGCGGAGGAAAAGAAACUAACAAGGAUUCCCCUAGUAACGGCGAGUGAAGCGGGAAGAGCUCAAAUUUGAAAUCUUAAAGGGUUUCCCUUUACGAAUUGUAGUUUAAAGAAGUGUUUUCUGUUGAGGUUUUGGUAAAAGUUCUUUGGAAUAGGACAUCAUAGAGGGUGAGAAUCCCGUAUUUGACCUUUACUUUCAACUUUGUGAUACACUUUCAAAGAGUUGGAUUGUUUGGGAAUGCAGUCCAAAAUGGGUGGUAAAUUUCAUCUAAAGCUAAAUAUUGGCGAGAGACCGAUAGCGAACAAGUACCGUGAGGGAAAGAUGAAAAGAACUUUGAAAAGAGAGUUAAACAGUACGUGAAAUUGUCAAAAGGGAAGCGUUUGACACCAGUGUUGUUUUUCUGAAAAUCAAUUAAAGAACUGUUUAUGCUAAGUUGUUUAGACUUUAUCAGCUAACUGUUUAGUUUUGAGCUUUUCUUUAAUGCACUUUUCAGUUAACAAGUCAACAUCAAUUUCUUUUGCUGUAAAAAAGCUUGAGGAAGGUGGCUUGAGAUUCGUCUUAAGUGUUUAUAGCCUCUUGCCUAUGCAGUCGGAGAGAUUGAGGUCUGCAGCGUAGAUCCUUCGGGGCUAAAUGCAUUUGUGCUAAGUUAUAACAUUUUAUAGACAACUUGUUGACUAUGAUUUGUCUUGUAGCUUACUCGCUUAUGUUAUUUUACCUACGCUUAGGAUGUUGAAGUCAUCGUAUCGCGC
rnacentral:rRNA from 1 species